AUGGCGCGGUGGUGUCAGCUGGCGGCGGUGCUGCUCGCCGUGUCGAUGGCGGCGUCGACGUCGGUGGCGCAGGACGCGCUGCAGACCAAGUGCCAGGGGGACCUGCAGAAGCUGUCGGACUGCAUGGACUACGCGACGGGGCACGAGGACACGCCGUCGGCCAAGUGCUGCGAGGACACGGCGGACACGCAGAAGGCGCGGCCCGAGUGCCUCUGCUCCAUCAUCCAGCAGGUGCACAGCGGCAGCCACGGCGUGCAGCAGCUCGGCCUCCGCUUCGACCGCCUCCUGGCCCAGCCCGCAGCCUGCAAGCUCACCUACGCCAACGUCUCCCUCUGCAUCA
rnacentral:rRNA from 1 species